AGCAGCCGCGGUAAUUCCAGCUCCAAUAGCGUAUAUUAAAGUUGUUGCAGUUAAAAAGCUCGUAGUUGAACUUCGGGGUUCACCCAUUGGUCAGGCUUAAUUGUCUGUACUGGUGAGAUGAAUCUCUACCUUCUGAGGAACUUUCAUGUCAUUAAUUUGGUGUGAUUGGAAAUCAGGACUGUUACUUUGAAAAAUUAGAGUGUUUAAAGCAGGCUAACGUCUGAAUACAUUAGCAUGGAAUAUUGAAAUAGGACGGACUGAUUCUAUUUCGUUGGUUUCUAGGAUCACCGUAAUGAUUAAUAGGGAUAGUUGGGGGCAUUAGUAUUCAAUUGUCAGAGGUGAAAUUCUUGGAUUUAUUGAAGACUAACUACUGCGAAAGCAUUUGCCAAGGAUGUUUC
rnacentral:sRNA from 1 species